AUUGUAAUGAAAUUCUGAGGAUUAAACCGUUCCCAUGCCCGACCAAUACAGAACUUGUUAAAAUAGAUGUUGCUCUAGUACCAAACUACUUUAUCCACUGAAAAUUCACUGUAUGUCUGUGUAUUUGUUUUUCAUGUAACCCCCGUUCUGACUCUCAAUUACAAGGCUUUUAGAUAUCCAUUUCAAUUUUAAAAGAAACAUCUAUUUGAGAUUCAUGUGAUCUUUUACUUUAUACUGAUUUAACAUUAUUUUUUUUGCAGAAGAAAAAAAAAGCAAUUUAUUAAUCUGAAAAU